rnacentral:rRNA from 1 species
UUGAACGCUGGCGGAAUGCUUUACACAUGCAAGUCGAGCGGCAGCACGGGGGCAACCCUGGUGGCGAGCGGCGAACGGGUGAGUAAUACAUCGGAACAUGCCCAGUCGUGGGGGAUAACACUUCGAAAGAAGUGCUAAUACCGCAUACGUCCUGAGGGGGAAAGCGGGGGAUCGCAAGACCUCGCGCGAUUGGAGUGGCCGAUGUCAGAUUAGCUAGUUGGUGGGGUAAAGGCCUACCAAGGCAACGAUCUGUAGCUGGUCUGAGAGGAUGAUCAGCCACACUGGGACUGAGACACGGCCCAGACUCCUACGGGAGGCAGCAGUGGGGAAUUUUGGACAAAGGGGGCAACCCUGAUCCAGCCAUUCCGCGUGAGUGAAGAAGGCCUUCGGGUUGUAAAGCUCUUUCGGCAGGAACGAAACGGUGAGCUCUAACAUAGCUUGCUAAUGACGGUACCUGAAGAAGAAGCACCGGCUAACUACGUG